rnacentral:siRNA from 1 species
UUGUCAUAGUGCCUCUCUGCUCUC